GACGAACGCUGGCGGCGUGCUUAACACAUGCAAGUCGAACGGAAAGGCCCUGCUUUUGUGGGGUGCUCGAGUGGCGAACGGGUGAGUAACACGUGAGUAACCUGCCCUUGACUUUGGGAUAACUUCAGGAAACUGGGGCUAAUACCGGAUAGGAGCUCCUGCUGCAUGGUGGGGGUUGGAAAGUUUCGGCGGUUGGGGAUGGACUCGCGGCUUAUCAGCUUGUUGGUGGGGUAGUGGCUUACCAAGGCUUUGGCGGGUAGCCGGCCUGAGAGGGUGACCGGCCACAUUGGGACUGAGAUACGGCCCAGACUCCUACGGGAGGCAGCAGUGGGGAAUAUUGCACAAUGGGCGGAAGCCUGAUGCAGCAACGCCGCGUGCGGGAUGACGGCCUUCGGGUUGUAAACCGCUUUCGCCUGUGACAAAGCGUGAGUGACGGUAAUGGGUAAAGAAGCACCGGCUAACUACGUG
rnacentral:rRNA from 1 species